rnacentral:rRNA from 1 species
UACGUAGGCAGCAAGCGUUGUUCGGAAUUACUGGGCGUAAAGGGCGCGAUGAGGCGGUUGGAUAAGUCAGCUGUGAAAAACCACGGGCUUAACUCGUGGCCUGCAGUUGAGACUGUCUGGCUUGAGUGUGGGAGAGGAGAGUGGAAUUCCUGGUGUAGCGGUGAAAUGCGUAGAUAUCAGGAGGAACACCGGUGGCGAAGGCGGCUCUCUGGACCACAACUGACGCUGAGGCGCGAAAAGCUAGGGGAGCAAACGGG